rnacentral:rRNA from 1 species
ACUUAAGCAUAUCAAUAAGCGGAGGAAAAGAAACCAACAGGGAUUGCCCUAGUAACGGCGAGUGAAGCGGCAACAGCUCAAAUUUGAAAUCUGGCUUCCUUUGGGGGUCCGAGUUGUAAUUUGCAGAGGGUGCUUUGGCGUCGGCAGCGGUCUAAGUUCCUUGGAACAGGACAUCACAGAGGGUGAGAAUCCCGUACGUGGUCGCCUGCCUUCGCCGUGUAAAGCCCCUUCGACGAGUCGAGUUGUUUGGGAAUGCAGCUCUAAAUGGGAGGUAAAUUUCUUCUAAAGCUAAAUACCGGCCAGAGACCGAUAGCGCACAAGUAGAGUGAUCGAAAGAUGAAAAGCACUUUGGAAAGAGAGUCAAACAGCACGUGAAAUUGUUGAAAGGGAAGCGCUUGCAGCCAGACUUGCUCGCAGUUGCUCAUCCGGGCCCGCCCGGAGCACUCUUCUGCGAGCAGGCCAGCAUCAGUUUGGGCGACCGGAUAAAGGCCUCUGUCAUGUAUCUUCCUUCGGGAUGACCUUAUAGGGGAGGCGUAAUGCGGCCAGCCCGGACUGAGGUCCGCGCAUCUGCUAGGAUGCUGGCGUAAUGGCUGUAAGCGGCCCGUCUUGAAACACGGACCAAGGAGUCUAACAUCUAUGCGAGUGUUUGGGUGUCAAGCCCGGGCGCGUAAUGAAAGUGAACGGAGGUGGGAACCCUCUUCGGGGGGUGCACCAUCGACCGAUCCUGAUGUCUUCGGAUGGAUUUGAGUAAGAGCAUAGCUGUUGGGACCCGAAAGAUGGUGAACUAUGCUUGAAUAGGGUGAAGCCAGAGGAAACUCUGGUGGAGGCUCGCAGCGGUUCUGACGUGCAAAUCGAUCGUCAAAUUUGGGCAUAGGGGCGAAAGACUAAUCGAAC